UGAGCAGCAUGUGUUCAAACAUGUGCUUCCUGCCGUAAAACGGUAAUACAUGUUCACUUAUCAUUUAUCUUUUAAUCCUCUGACAAUGACAUUAUCAUCUGCUUGUUCACAAGACAGUAAUAUAUCCAGUGGCGGCUGGUGAUUUAUUUUUUGGGGGGGGCGCAAUCAUAGACAUAUAUAGACUAUAGGCGCAGUUGGGCAGUGCGGUUUAAAUAGCACUCACAAUGAGAAAACAAAAACACAAGAGAGGUUUUGAGUAGAAUAUAUUAAAAAACAAAAGAUUUAUUUCAUGAAAAGACAGUGCUCAACACUGUCCACUAACAACUCUCAACAAACUGUAAAAUUGGGCAUGAGAGGUUUAGAGCAGAAUGGUUUAAGAAACAUUGGGUUGGGUUCCAGAGGUUUAAAUAUUGGGUAGUAGAGGUUUAGAGUAGACUAGAUUCAGAAACAUUGUGUACAAGUUUAAAACAGUAGAUAACAUUUUUUUUUUUUUAAACACAGGGUGUAGAGGUUUAGAGCAGAAUAGAGUGAGAAAGACUGAAUGAUACCAGUAGUUUAGAGCAGAAUAGAUUCAGAAAUACUGGAUUAUACUAGAGGUUUAGAGCAGAAUAGAUUCAGAAACACUGGAUGAUACUACAUGUUUUCGAAUGCCAAUUCGGUACCCUUCGUCCAACUGCUCUGCAAUACUCAGUCUUCCAAAGAGGCUUAGCUUCAGGCUGUUAGUUAGAUGGCUGCGGCAAGAUUCGUGCUUCUUACAUUUAUCGUUGAAGUGCUUUAGAUCCCUCCAUCCCCGUUGCAGUCCAGAUUGUUUCAGUCCCAGGACUUUGGAACAACAGGCAGGGAAAACGCAUCACUCACUGAACAACCAGCUAACCAGCUCCGGUUAGCAUACAGGCUUGAGGAGAAGCUACGGGUGUACGUCCUCCCGCGGUCGAUGCUCUGCUGCUGCAUUUUUAAAUCCGGACGUUCGGGUCCCAUGUCUUUCAGUCUCUUCUUAUCGACAUCUGAUCGUCGAUUCGACAGUUUUCAGUCGGCAUACUCACAGAAUCAAAGUCUCUGCUAGCUAUGUUGCUCUCGUAGAUACGUGAGAUGUAUAUGGGAUGUGAGGGAAUGAUAAAGGUCUCUGAUUCGACAAAUAGUCCAGUCGUGUUGAAAUAAGAAACGAUGUCAUUGGUCAGGGCGCAAAAUUUUGCGCCCCAGGAUCGAACUUUCAUCCGCCAAUGAGAAGCUGUCCUUGCUCAAAUGUUGCAGAAAAGUAUGAGAGCUCCCAUUGACUUCCAUUUGGCCGGCGCCCCUCCAGGGAGGAGGGGCUUAUCUCAGUGAUAACGAAUGGCAAUAUAUUAUAUUUGGUCACAUUUAAGUGGUUGUUGGCAGGGGCUUACGGUCUCCCACACACAUGUAACGCGUUAACACAGUACAGUUCCUAUUUUAAUUGUUUGGUAUAUAAUGUUUUUUUACUUUUUUUUUUUUUUUUUCAUCUCAAAAUUUUAGGAGGGGCGGCGCCCUUGCGCCCUGUAUUGACGCACCGCCACUGAAUAUAUCCUCACUUCCAGUUUUACCUCUCGCUCAGAAAUACAAUAUUACAGGAACCUGUUUCUCUCUGUGUAAUCCUACAUUAAGAUGGUGGCACUUUUUCUUUAUAUCAGAACUACAAUUUCACUGGUGUCUGUUUCUCUCUACAUGUUUGCCACACCAUGAUUCUCUAUCUGGUCCAGGGUUUUCAGAUGCUUUCAGGCUUGUCUAUUUGGGCCUGUAGUUCGGUGCAUUUGAUUUGAUUUGACUGUUUUCAAAAACCGAACAAAGAUUGGCAGCAGCUGGAAACAGUGCUGUGGAACCUGGGGAUAGGCUAUUCGCAUUCUGAAAUUGACAUUGUUUGAUGGACAGUUACAAUUUUUAACAAAAUAUGUGACAAGAUUUCUGGACAGGCGAAAUGCUACAUUUGGUGCAAUAUCUGUCUAUAGAAAGUUCAGUUCAAUAGAUGACAGUCAAAUGUGCUACCUCGUUGCCUAGCAACAGUGGUAAAGAGCUUCUUCAGGAAGCUGAUAUCAAAUUAGUUCUACAGACUGACCACCGUUCAGAU
ensembl:lncRNA